rnacentral:rRNA from 1 species
UACAGAGGUGGCAAGCGUUGUUCGGAAUUACUGGGCGUAAAGGGCGUCUAGGCGGUCCAGUAAGUCCUGCGUGAAAGCUCCCGGCUCAACUGGGAGAGCGCGUGGGAGACUGUUGGGCUAGAGACUCGGAGAGGGGUGUGGAAUUCCCGGUGGAGUGGUGAAAUGCGUUGAGAUCGGGAGGAACACCAGUGGCGAAGGCGGCACCCUGGCCGAGUUCUGACGCUGAAGCGCGACAGCGUGGGGAGCAAACGGG